rnacentral:rRNA from 1 species
GACGAACGCUGGCGGCGUGCUUAACACAUGCAAGUCGAACGGUAAGGCCCUUCGGGGUACACGAGUGGCGAACGGGUGAGUAACACGUGGGUGAUCUGCCCUGCACUUCGGGAUAAGCCUGGGAAACUGGGUCUAAUACCGGAUAGGACUCCGGACUGCAUGGUCUGGGGUGGAAAGCUUUUGCGGUGUGGGAUGGGCCCGCGGCCUAUCAGCUUGUUGGUGGGGUGAUGGCCUACCAAGGCGACGACGGGUAGCCGGCCUGAGAGGGUGACCGGCCACACUGGGACUGAGAUACGGCCCAGACUCCUACGGGAGGCAGCAGUGGGGAAUAUUGCACAAUGGGCGCAAGCCUGAUGCAGCGACGCCGCGUGAGGGAUGACGGCCUUCGGGUUGUAAACCUCUUACAGCAUCGACGAAGCGAAAGUGACGGUAGGUGCAGAAGAAGGACCGGCCAACUACGUGCCAGCCGCCGCCGUAA